CCCUCACCAGACCCAAAGCUGCCAAAAAACUGUGCCAGGCCCUCAAAAUGACCUAUAGUUUUCCUGAUUGAGAGGAUGUAAUCGUCAAGGCCCAGAAAUUUCUCAAAAGCAGCCUACAGAAAGAGAGAAGACAGAAGUAUUUGACAACCUAUGAUGGCGAGAGUCGAUGGUUAUGCGUGAGACGAUGCAUUCUCUGAAGGAGAUCAGGUUUGGAGGACCCUGCAUGCCAUGAUGGAACCUACCCAGCGGGCUAUGCUCUCGACGCCUGAGAGAAUGGAGUGUGACAUGUGGCUCCACUCUCUGUGGAAGACGUUGAGGAUUCAUUCC